CCUACGGGGGGCUGCAGUGGGGAAUAUUGGACAAUGGGGGGAACCCUGAUCCAGCCAUGCCGCGUGUGUGAAGAAGGCCCUCGGGUUGUAAAGCACUUUCAGUGAGGAAGAACGCCUGGUGGUUAAUACCCAUCAGGAAAGACAUCACUCACAGAAGAAGCACCGGCUAACUCCGUGCCAGCAGCCGCGGUAAUACGGAGGGUGCGAGCGUUAAUCGGAAUUACUGGGCGUAAAGCGCGCGUAGGUGGCUUGAUAAGCCGGUUGUGAAAGCCCCGGGCUCAACCUGGGAACGGCAUCCGGAACUGUCAAGCUAGAGUGCAGGAGAGGAAGGUAGAAUUCCCGGUGUAGCGGUGAAAUGCGUAGAGAUCGGGAGGAAUACCAGUGGCGAAGGCGGCCUUCUGGACUGACACUGACACUGAGGUGCGAAAGCGUGGUAGCAAACAGGAUUAGAUACCCCGGUAGUC
rnacentral:rRNA from 1 species